rnacentral:ncRNA from 1 species
UAAUAUAUUUUAUUUUGGUAUUUUAAGUUUCUUGUUUAUUUUAUUUACAUGUAAGUAUACACUAUCAAUUUUAAAAUAUAAAUUCAGUAAUUAUUAUUAAAUAUUAAUGAAAUUUUUAUUUAGAAAUUUAACUUAAAAUUAACUAAUAUUGUGCCAGCAGUUGCGGUUAUUCAAUAAAUUUAAAGAUACUGUUUUAGUAGAUUAAUUAGUAUAUAAAAUUAAAAUUAUAAUUUAUAUUUUAAGGUAAAAUUUUAAUAUUUAUUUGUUUUUCUAAAAUUGGUUAAGAAAUUUUCUGUUAAACCAGGAUUAGAUACCCUGUUAUAUUAAAUGUAAAUACUUCUUGAGUAGUAAAAGUUUUGAUCUUCAAACUUAAAAGAUUUGGCGGUAUUUUAUCUUAUUAGAGGAACUUGUUUAUUAAUUGAUAUUCCACAACUAUUAUUUACUUAUUUAUUUACUUGUAUACCGCCGUCAUGAAUAUACUUAUAAGUUUAUUUUCUUUUAUUUUAUGAAUUUCAUGUUAGGUCAAGGUGCAGUAUAAAUAAGAAAAAAAUGGGUUACAGUUAAAAGUAUGAAUGGAUUCUUAUUUUUUUUGAUUUUGAAAAAGGAUUUAAUAGUAAAGCUAUUUAUAGUAAUUUUAUGAAAAAAGAUUCUAAAAUAUGUACAUAUUGCCCGUCACUCUUGCCCAAAACAAGAUAAGUCGUAACAUAGUAGACGUACCGGAAGGUGUGUCUGGAAAGA